rnacentral:lncRNA from 10 species
AUUACCUGUGUUGGCUAUGUUAGCAGCAUAGUUCUUCAAUGUGUGGCAUAGCUGUCCUUAUAGAAAAACAAAAUGGUUAAUUCAGGUUUGGUUUUUGAAUGAUCUUGUACACCUGGAGGUAUGUUGGGCUAUGUUUCUCACUAUUUACAAAAACCUGUUAUGUGUAAAUACAUCUGAUGCUUACCCAUAUCAUCCCCAGUUCUGUAGAAACAAAUUCAACAAAAGAGGAGAAGCCUGGAAUAGUGGAAUACUUUAAUCGUCACACCAGUACUGUUGUGUGGUUUUCUUUUCUUCUGCCCUGGUUUCUCUAAGCUCACAAUGUGUUUGCAGGGCUGGUCUAGGUCUUCCUUCUUGCCUUUACUGGGCAGAACUAAGAUAAUAGGAAUAAAAAGGGGAAGCAGAACAAAAGGAUGGGCAGGUUCUCCCAGGUAGAAUCGACAGUCCAGUCCAGUGCUCCUGCCACUUCUCUUGGACCUGCUGCUCCCACUGUGUGUGUGUGUGUGUGUGUGUGUUUCUGUGAAUGAGUGUAUGUGCACAUGUAUGUCUGCAUGUGUGUGUGCACAUAUGUCUGUGUGUGCUUGUAUGUGUCUGCAUGCGUGUGCAUGCAUGUGUCUGUGUGGUUUGGACUUGGCGUGUUAUCCCAGGCGGGCCUUGCCAUCCAGAAAAGAAGAAGGCAGUUAGGAAAUGCACUUAACUGCUGCAGGGAAGCUAGAGUUGCUUUGUGGAGCUUGUUUCAAAUGGGUUUUGUUUUGAAUCUACAAGUUCAUUCAAAUUCAAUCACAGCAAAAUUCACAGAUUGUGAUGUCAUGCGGAUUGAAACCAAAAAAGGCUGUAUAGAAUGCUUUCUGCCAGAUUUUACUCAUGGCUUCAGGAAACUCCCCCACCCACCAGUCUUUUUUCUUUUUUCUUUUUUUCCUUUGCAUUGUGAGCCAAGACUUAAGGGCUGUGCCUUACUAAGCCUCACUUCCAUUUACAGAGUUUUCUUUUUUUAACAGCCCUUGGGCCUACGGCCUUGACAUCUGUGCUGCGAUUUCUCUAAGCUCCUAUCACUCUGCUUUGCUUCCGCAUUAAAAAGAGAAUAGAUCCUUCUAAUUGUACAGACACCAACAUUGUCUAGGGCAGGGGGAGGGUUGGGUAGAGAAGGAAUUUAUCAAUCAUGAACCUAGUCCACCUGUUUAUUGUUAUUAAGCUAACUGCAUGGAGAAGACACCCUCAAUCCACAAGGAAGGCCCCUCGGAGGUGACUGUUACUACUGGGCCUUCCUUCCCCAUGACGUGACACUUGCAUUCCUCUGGCCUCCUGGCAGAUGGAAACCUCACUUAUGUCAUCCCUGUGUGGUGGCUUGGACUUUGGUAGUCCAGCACUGUUAUGGGAUGACUUAAGGAAGGGCUGUGCCCUGGGUCUGUUUAAGGGAAGGUGUGGGCCUCGGGCUCUUAGGAUAAGGAAGGAGCAGGAGCUGGCAUGACCUUUCAUUCCUGUGUGUCGGCCAUGCUGGGGCUGUGGCUGGGAGCACACCAGUAUGGCCUUCCUGGACGCAGCCCUCUGUGGACAGUAACUGGACCCUUUUGGUCUAGAUUGGAUUAGAACUAGGAUUACAUUCGAUUCCUUGUGGUGAGUCUUUUUCUAGCUAGAGAAACCUAAACCCACCUUCUCCCAGUGUGAUUCUUGAGUGAUACCAACAUGUAAGAAUGUUAGUUCAAACUGUCAGGCACAGGGAGUGGAAUCUCAGUGUUCCCACGAAUGAAUGGAUAAAUAUAGAAGUGGCAUAGGAGUCAAAUUUACUUAAUUUCUUGUCUCAGUCUAGACCACUGAUGGGCUGAAUUCCUAUGAGUGGGGAUGAGACCCUCAAUCUCCCUGUGCCACUCGGGGGCUCUUCGCCUUGUGCCUUGCCUUGAGGUCAGUGGUGGUUCAAGGAUGAUCUCGACCUCUUGAGAGUCGUGAAUUCCUUCUUCUUGCUGCUGUGACACUGUAUUAUCUCUUAUCACAAUGCUCACUGUUUUGUCUUGUAUGUUUUCAUCCAUGUCCUCUCCCAACGCUUCCUUUCAGAAUGCGAGCUUCUCCAGAGAAGCUGUGGCUUCCCGUGUCUCAGCACCCAGUGCGCUUCCCAGCGCCCAGCACGCUGAUUUGAAACUCUCUCAAUAAGUGUGCCAAUGAAGUUUUGUUGAUAAAUAAUUAAGAAAUAAAUGAGAAUAGUCUCUCUGGUGCACGAGCCUUCCUAUUCGCUCUCAGUGAAUUCUUGGUUUGAAAAUGCAGUGGUGUGGUAGACCAGAAACAAGGUCAGAACUCCAGUACAGAAUAGACAGGUUUGUCUUCUCCUGAGGAAGUGGAUGCCAUGUGUCACUUUGCAGAUGGAUCAAGUGCAGGAGGUGCCUGUUGGAGACGCAGAGCUCUGCAGCAGCAGGUGAGCUGAUGCUGCAACCUGCUAAACGCCGCUCCUGCGGAGCGCCAGGGCCCAGAGUGCACAUGGCUCUCAGGCUCCGUGAAAAGCUUGCAGUGAGCUCAGCCACUGAAAAGUCACUACGAAGAUGGAAAGCAAAAUGAAAACCGAGUCCUCGACACCGCUUCCUGGAGCUGUUCUGUGCAGAAGUUGAGUGAAGAUACUGCAGCGAGCCCUGGGUCUGAACGCCUGUGUGCUGACUCUAGACCUGCUCCUCAGCCCCAGUUUUCUCUGAAAAACCAGGAUUCUAGCACAACUCGUACCCCCAUUCUUUUCAGUCCUGCACCCACCAGCGAGCCGCAAGGCCCAGGAGCUACUGGCCCUGUUUUCCUGUCUCCAGUACUGGCCUUUGAUUUAUGAGAUGUCCCCUGUCUCCCCUGCUUCUGACCUCCCAGGAUGGCAUUUGGUGAUUUCUUGAUGUUCUCUUGCUUUGGCAUUAAAAUAUGGAUGGGAGUGUCAUUUCCAGAUCUUUUCCAGACCUGUGCAAUUCUUUCCAUUCUUCAUAACAGCCCAUGACCCACCUUCCUCUGUUUCAGCCACAAAGCUAGCCAUGCCUGUGUGCGCACUGCUGUUUCUCAUUGUUAAUAUUUUAACUGUUAUUAAAAAAAAAACUUUCUUUUAAACUGUGUGUGUAUGGUUUUAAAAAUUGACGCACUUCCAGAGCUCUCAACUUCUGCAGUCUUUCUGAGGUCCGUGUUCCUCUUCUUCAGCUGGGAAGCAAAUGCUUGACUU